AAAGAAUUAUUUUAAUUAAAAAAUUGAUCUGUCAGAUCAAAAAUGCUAAAUUAGCAUUCUUUU
rnacentral:tRNA from 1 species